rnacentral:rRNA from 1 species
UACAGAGGGGGCAAGCGUUGUUCGGAAUUACUGGGCGUAAAGGGCGCGUAGGCGGCCCGCUAAGUCGAACGUGAAAUCCCCGGAGCUCAACUCGGGGAACUGCGUCCGAUACUGGCGGGCUUGAAUCCGGGAGAGGGAUGCGGAAUUCCAGGUGUAGCGGUGAAAUGACGUAGAUAUCUGGAGGAACACCGGGUGGCGAAGGCGGCAUCCUGGACCGGCAUUGGACGCUGAGG